ACCGCGAGGUGUGGGGGGUGCCAGACACACAGUACCAGUUUCCUCCUCCCCGGCGGAACUUGCAACAAGACAAUUUCACUGAGCUGGCGGCACGGAAUAUUAAUUCCUUAUGGCGAUUUCACGUCAGGAUUAGCCUCGGCUUAUCGCGACAACACACAGCUUCGCUCUCGGAUUCCUCAUCUGGAUGUCUGUUUUGUUCAUGUGAAGGCAAAAAAAAAAAAAAAAGAAUAAAGAGAAGUCCCUAUUUAACAAUAGCAACGUAAAAAAAGCGUCUGUGAAAAGCGAAUAAAUACAUGAAAGAAUCAUGUUGUAUAAGUAGAAAACAAAGAUUGCAGCGGAAUUUCAACUGGGAGUGCAUACAUGAAUUUCUAAAGCGAAGUCAAACUCUCGAGGAAUCGUCAACUUAUUAUAGUAGUCUCGUCAUUUCUGGGAUCACACUACCAUCAUUUGGAGCGCCACUUCACGCCAGGACUUUGUGACGUGACGUCACAACCGUUUCACCAAUUAUCCGGAACUUUGGAGUGUGAGUGAGUGAGUGAAAAAUACGUGAAGGUUCACCACAGACACCAACACCACGCCACCGUUUCAUCUUUGGAGUGUUGGUGAGUGAGUGAGAGAUACUAAGAGCUCCCUACCCCCAACACUGCGUCAUCGUUUCACCAAUUUUCUGAAACUCGGGAGUGUGUGAGAGGUGCCUAACCUAAAGGCUCACCACCACCACCAACACCACCACGUCACCGUUUCGUCCAUUUCCCUUGAACUUGGAGUGUGUGAGUGAGAGAUACAUAAUUAAGGGCUCAUAACUGCAAAACACGUCACCAUAUCACAAACUGUCUGGAACUUGGGAAUAUAAGCUGCUGAUUCCUAAAGUUCACCUCCACCACCACCACCACGUCACAUUUUCACCAAUGUUCUAGAACUUGGAGUGUAAGCAGAAAAUACCCAAGGAUUUAACACCACGGCCACGCCACAGUUUCACCAAUUCUCUGGAACUUACUUAAUUGGAGUGAGUGUAGCUGAAAUCCAAGUCUUCACCAUCACCACCACCACAUCGUCACCGUUUCACCAAAUGCCCUGGAACUUGGAGUGUAUGAGAGAGAUCUAAAGGGUCCACCACCACGUCACAGUUUCACCAAUUUUCUGGAACGUGGAGUGUGAGUAAGCAGCUGAGUGUAAUUUACUACAACAUCGACAUCCCCACCUCUACCCCCACCCUCACCACCACGACCACCACUACAACGCUCAUAUAAACAGGCGUGCGACAAUUGUUUUUGGAUAUUUCCUCAACGACGGCGCCUACGGAGCUAACUGGAUCAUCUAGAUCUCCAUGCAGUUCCCCGAUUCUGCAACAAUAAGUUUAAGUUUAAUAAUCUCAAGAAAGUACAGCAUUACGCGACAGCUGCAUCGACUGAUACGAUCAUAAACUCUCUCCUUGGGCUCUAUCAUUCUGUUGUGAGAAGUGUGGUCUGUGAAGAGAGAGGGAGAGAGAGUGUGUGAAGAGAGUAGUGGAGAGGGAGAGUGAGGAGAGUGGUGGAGAGGAAGAAGAGUCGUGGAGAGGGAUAGGGGGAAAGAG
rnacentral:lncRNA from 1 species